rnacentral:rRNA from 1 species
ACGUAGGGGGCGAGCGUUGUCCGGAUUUACUGGGUGUAAAGGGCGCGUAGGCGGUAUGAUAAGUUUGAGGUAAAAUACCACUGCUUAACAGUGGGGGUGCCUUGGAUACUGUCAUACUAGAGUACAGGAGGGAGGAAUGGAAUUCCUGGUGUAGUAGUGAAAUACGUAGAUAUCAGGAAGAACACCGGUGGCGAAGGCGGUUCCUUGGACUGUUACUGACGCUGAGGCGCGAAAGCGUGGGGAGCGAACAG